rnacentral:rRNA from 1 species
AGAGCGAACGCUGGCGGCAGGCCUAACACAUGCAAGUCGAGCGGCCGUAGCAAUACGGCAGCGGCAGACGGGAGAGUAACACGUGGGAACGCGCCCUUCGGUUCGGAAUAACUCAGGGAAACUUGGGCUAAUACCGGAUACGCCCUUACGGGGAAAGAUUUAUUGCCGAAGGAACGGCCCGCGUCCGAUUAGCUUGUUGGUGAGGUAACGGCUCACCAAGGCGACGAUCGGUAGCUGGUCUGAGAGGAUGACCAGCCUCACUGGGACUGAGACACGGCCCAGACUCCUACGGGAGGCAGCAGUGGGGAAUAUUGGACAAUGGGCGCAAGCCUGAUCCAGCCAUGCCGCGUGGGUGAUGAAGGCCCUAGGGUUGUAAAGCCCUUUCGGCGGGAAGAUAAUGACGGUACCCGCAGAAGAAGCCCGGCUAACUUCGUGCCAGCAGCCGC